AGCCCUGGCUGGCUGUGUGACCUCAGGGGGCAGAUGGCCUCUCAGAGCCCGAGGCCAUCAAGUGGCCAGGAUGGUGGUGGUGCGUGCAGGGUAGUGGGGCAGCUGACCCGUGCAGAGGGAUCCAGGCUGGCCGGAGGUGGGCCGCAAUCCAGGACGAGUGUUUCUUGGUUUCUACAAAGGGAAGAGCUGAGCCGGUGUGGCCCGUGUGAUGCAGUCAGCCGAAGCACCUGCAGCCCAGGCAGCGGCGAAACGCCCCCACUGGAGACAGCCACUUCCUGCUCUUGGCUCCUGACAAAGCUUCCCCUUCCUCUGCUCUCGCACAGCGGAACUUCAUGUGAACUUAAAGCAUCCCUUCCAGAUAAAGAGGCUGGAUCCUCAGAUAAAGAGACUGAGACCCAAAGAGGGGCAGUCACUUGGCCAAGGCCAUGUGGCUGUUAGAGUUGUAGUCCGAAUUUGAAGCCAGGGAGACUGAUCGUGGAACACCUGCUUUCAGUGGAAGCUUCUGACAAAAUACAGCAGACUGCGAUGCCACCCGGCUGUUGCCCCAGAGAUGCCACUUCCCCCAGCUUGUCUGAGCUGACCUGAUCGUUACUGCAAAUGGCUGGAUUCAUCUUUGUCAAGUUUGCACUUUCCCCCAAGUUUGAAUUAACCUCGACGUUAAUUUGCUGAUGAAGCGCCUGCGGAAGGUCAUAUAGCGUGAGCACCUGUGAUUUCCAAGGAAAUUAUUGUAAUGUGCUAAAUGGGAGAUUUAAAGGUUACUUGUUCCCCUGCAAUCUAUGAACUGUUAUGUGAAAAAGUCAUAACUGAAAUAAUUGAAGUGUCAGAAAGAAA